rnacentral:rRNA from 1 species
UGGGGAAUCUUGCGCAAUGGGCGAAAGCCUGACGCAGCAACGCCGCGUGCGGGAUGAAGGCCUUCGGGUUGUAAACCGCUUUCAGGAGGGACGAAAUUGACGGUACCUCCAGAAGAAGCCCCGGCCAACUACGUGCCAGCAGCCGCGGUAACACGUAGGGGGCGAGCGUUGUCCGGAUUUAUUGGGCGUAAAGAGCUCGUAGGUGGCUGAGUAAGUCGGGUGUGAAACCUCCAGGCUCAACCUGGAGACGCCACCCGAUACUGCUCUAGCUCGAGUCCGGUAGGGGAGCGUGGAAUUCCUGGUGUAGCGGUGAAAUGCGCAGAUAUCAGGAGGAACACCAGCGGCGAAGGCGGCGCUCUGGGCCGGUACUGACACUGAGGAGCGAAAGCGUGGGGAGCAAACA